rnacentral:rRNA from 1 species
UACGUAGGGUGCGAGCGUUGUCCGGAAUUACUGGGCGUAAAGCGCGUGUAGGCGGACUCGCAAGUCAGAUGUGAAAUCCCCGGGCUCAACUCGGGAACUGCAUCUGAAACUGCGAGCCUUGAGUACCGGGGAGGGUGGCGGAAUUCCUGGUGUAGAGGUGAAAUUCGUAGAUAUCAGGAGGAACACCGGUGGCGAAGGCGGCCACCUGGACGGUAACUGACGCUGAGACGCGAAGGUCAGGGGAGCAAACGGG